AUGAUAUUUAUUAGAAGGGUGGGUAGCAAGCCCCAAAGGAUCAGAUCCAGAGAUUUACAAAAAAUCUGUUUUAAAAACAAAAAGCUCUUUCAGAACCUCUUCCAAAGAUGGUGUCUGAUUUCUACCUUUAAUUGCUUUUGCUUUUCUUUCUUCGUCCCCUCUUUACGAGGCUGCCUUACUGACAUGUUGGGAGAGGCUCCAUCUGACGAGCGCUGCGGGGAGCGUUUCUCUCACCCACGCAGCACUGCUGCCGGCCAUGCCUCGGUUCGAGGCAGGGCCAGCAGCAGCACCACCUCCGCCUCGCCUGGGCUCGUCGCCCUGAGGCUCCAGCCCUUUUGGGUGAAAUCCUUCCUGCCCUCAGGCUCCAGGGGCGAUGGGGGAAGCAGCGUGGUGCUAAAGCCGAGGGUGCUGGGCCUGGGAGCCUUGUGGCCUGAGAGUGUGAGUGUGUGUUCACUGCUGCCUUCAGAGAACAAAUACAGUUGACUUGAAAUCUCUAUGAAAGGAUAAGCUGAAGCAUUGAGGGUUUUAGCUCUGUGGUCUUCUGUUUCCCUAUCACACCUUUUUUGAAGCUGAAGAGAAGCAGGUGUCAUCUCCAAACAGACUCAGGUUUUGGUGCAGGACAUUACAAAUAAUAUGUUUGCAUCUGAAACUGAAAGAAAUAAUUGAGAGGUGGCUCCACAGUCCCAGCAGCAGCUCUUCUGGUGGUAAGAGGAAGCAUCACCA
rnacentral:lncRNA from 1 species